UUGUGCGCGUCGCGUCGUCUUUUUUCGGGUUUUCGCGUAUUUAACGAUAAAGAAUGGCAAUCCAUCCUUAUCAUUUCACGAGUUAUGGCAUAUCCUGAAGGGGAGCUGUGAAAAAACUACAAUUUCGCUUGACACGCGCACCUGUGCCACGACAGUGUCGCCAACAGGAGCACCGCACCCACACCACCGCACGCCUCUCACAACUUUGGCUUUUUUGCGUGGUUCCCUUUUGCUAUGUUGCGUGUUUGUGACAUCUACAUUUACGUCCAAGGUGAUUCCCUCACCCCUCGCCUUCGCCGUCAUCCUCUGCGGCAGUGCAGUUAACAAAUCCCAAUCCCAGCGGAGGGACACGGAAUUUAUGUUUUAUUUGUGGAUACGAUACCAGCACAUUUCACCGUUAAGUCAUUCGUCAGCGUUGUCACACCACCUAACGGAAGUAAGCAAGGGCAAAAGAAACAAAGCGGAGAAGGAAGAGCAACGAAAAGUGAUGAGAAAACAAAUGCAAAAGAUGGAAUAAGCAACAACUGUGUCCACGCGCCGAUUUCCUUUUGGACAAAAGAUGCUGUUUCCCCCACAUUGACGCUGAUUAAUGUUGGAAAUGUGAUAAUUUGAUGCUGCCAACGACAGAAUAAAAGGGUGAAUGAAUACCAGCUCUGGAGUACAUAAAUCAUAUCAAUAGCCGUCGUCCUCCAAUCGAAGCUUCGAGUGCAGCUUGGAAUUCAACAUUGCUGGAAAUUCCUGUGUCCGCUUCUGACUCCACUCCUGGCUCCACACUGAUGCGAUGCUCUUGCUGCUGCCGAUGCGAUGCGAUGCGAUGCGAUGCGAAUGAACGAACGAGACAAGGAGAUCAUUACAUUGACAUAUUCAGGCACACAGAGACCCACGAGUCCAUCCGUGAGGCAUUCCACAGAAACAAUGAGGAUUGAAGCACGCGACCAUGUAGCAAAGCGACUUACAGAGACACUGCGUCCCACGCGAAGCAGAAAUCAACCUGCCCCGUGCCCGGUCCUUUUGUCUUGAGAAGGCUGAGGCGAAGAGGCCACAUCCACAUCUCACAGUUGUCGUCGCUCUAUCUGCAACAUGGAAAUGGGGAUUGGCAUUCGCAUUCGGAUUCGGACGUGGACUCACUGCCACAGGAAUGAAUGCUUAUCAAAAAGGCGCACUUGUACCUGUCAUAAAACCAACUGAAAUAUUGGCGUGGCAGCCAACAGAAAAGAGACCCCAAAAACGGGAGAAAGAGGAACAGUAACAAGUGCAAGUUCUCGUCCCCGCCCUCUACGUCUCCCUUGUGGCCUUUGCAGUUAAUUCUUUUUUAAUAAACUGCACAAAAGUCCACUCCAGGUGGAGGCCAGCAAAAACAAAAAG